rnacentral:rRNA from 1 species
UGCCAGCAUCCGCUGUACUCCGGAUUAUCCAAUCGUUAUCCGGAAUUAUUUGGUUUAAAGGGUCCGCAGGCUGUUUGUUAAGUUAGAGGUGAAAUCCUACCGCUCAACGGUAGAACUGCCUUUAAAACUGGCAAACUUGAGUUAUUGUGAAGUAAUUAGAAUGUGUAGUGUAGCGGUGAAAUGCAUAGAUAUUACACAGAAUACCGAUUGCGAAAGCAGAUUACUAACAAUUAACUGACGCUGAGGGACGAAAGCGUGGGUAGCGAACAGGAUUAGAUA